AUGAACACUUCUCCAGCUUUAGUGACUGUGAUGCUGCUGUUCAUGCUUGAGAGGACACAUGGAAAUUCAGUGACCCAGAUGCAAGGUCAAGUGACCCUUUCAGAAGAGGAGUUUCUAUUUAUAAACUGUACCUAUUCAACCACAGGGUACCCGACUCUUUUCUGGUAUGUCCAAUAUCCUGGAGAAGGUCCACAGCUCCUUUUGAAAGUCACAACAGCCAACAAUAAGGGAAGCAGCAGAGGUUUUGAAGCUACAUAUGAUAAAGGGACCACGUCCUUCCACUUGCAGAAAGCCUCAGUGCAGGAGUCAGACUCGGCUGUGUACUACUGUGUUCUGGGUGA